ACUCAACAAGUUAGAGUUAUAUGAACGUUUCGAGAAAUGCUCCAUGAGUGCAUUCCACAGUACUUUGUGGUCAUUACUUUUUGCACAGGUUGCCAUUGAAGGCUUUUGUCGAUGUGGCGCUUCAAAAACUUUGAGCGCAUGAGAUGUGAAAUCUCGGCAUCUAGGCUUGUUAGCCUGGGGUCAAAACAUGUGGUUUAAUCCUUUCCAAUGAAAGGUUCCACAGAUACCAAGCGAAGAUCCGCCUUAGGCAUCUAGUACGUCAAAACUCAAAGGAGCAGAAUGUUACAUUGCUCUUGCAUACAAAACCAAGCUGUUAUGAGACUCGAUAGAGGUCACAAACGAUGCUUUUAAUGGUUUGUCCUUCGGAUUGAUCAUACAUAAUCCGAAAAAGCCGCGAAUUGAUCAAACACAAUUCGGAAAAAGGCCUCGAAUUGAUCAAACACAACCCGGACAAAGAAACAAGAGUGAUCCAACAUACUCUUGACCCGAGAAUAAAAUUUCGGGAUUUUUGGUACCUGCACACACAAAAUCCCAAGCAUAGAAUGGAGAUGGAGAAGGGAGGAAAGGAUUUUAUCCUCCCCGAGUUAUUGAACUUGGAAGAGUUUAAGGUUUCAAAACAUACCUUUCUAAAGGCUGCCAAGAGGAGAAAUAACUUUUCGCCUACUUAUACUUCGAAUUUGGGGCUGAAAAUUUGACAGGAGGAGCAGCUCUGGAUGGGGAAGCUUCUGUCAAAAUUUCAGAUUGAUCGGAGCAAAGGAAGAUGGUGAACCGGUGGUCGGUAGCGGCGGCGGUCUGGAAUUUUCCGGCGGCCGGUUCGGAGACUUUCCGGCCGGUUCUCAGGGUGAGGCCGGCGGCGUUGGAUCCGUGACGGAAAGAGCUUUCUGGGGAUAUAAAAUUCCGGCGGAGGGCAGUCGGAAUUUUUGGUCGGAAAUCGGGAAAAACAAGGCUGCCCGAUUUUNNN
rnacentral:lncRNA from 1 species